UCCCUGGUGGCUCAGAUGGUAAAGAACCUGCCUGCAAUGCAGGCAACCCAGGUUCAAUCCCUGGGUGGGGAA
rnacentral:tRNA from 1 species